GACACGACUCUCGGCAACGGAUAUCUCGGCUCUCGCAUUGAUGAAGAACGUAGCGAAAUGCGAUACCUGGUGUGAAUUGCAGAAUCCCGCGAACCAUCGAGUCUUUGAACGCAAGUUGCGCCCGAGGCCACCCGGUCGAGGGCACGCCUGCCUGGGCGUCACGC
rnacentral:rRNA from 1 species